rnacentral:rRNA from 1 species
UUCUAAUAGAAUAUAAUUAUUAGUAAAAUCUGCUCAAUGAAUCUUAUAUAGCCGCAAUUUAUUGUGCUAAGGUAGCAUAAUCAUUUGUCUUUUAAUUAAAGACUAGAACGAAAGAUUAAACAUUUAAAUUUCUAUUAAUUUUAUUAAAUUUAAAAUUAUUUUUAAUAUUAAAAAAUAUUAAUAAAUAAAAAAGACGACAAGACCCUAUUAAACUUCACUUUAGUUAAACUGGGGAAGUUAAUUAAUUAUUAUUUUAAUUUAAAAAUAAAAAUAAAAGACCUAAUAAAAUUAAAUAAUGAACAAGUUACUAUAGGGAUAACAGCGUAAUAAUUUUCAAAAGAUCUUAUUUAAAAAAUAAUUUGCGACCUCGAUGUUGAAUAAUAACCUAUUAAAUGCAAUAAUUUAAAAAGGAAGUCUGUUCGACUUUUAAUUAAUUACA